UCACCCCUCAAGCCCCUCCGGCUUGGUGUUGGACGGCCUGGUCGGGCGACCGACCCCUCCCAAAGACAAUGACGGCGGCCUGGUUCGACCCCCGGUACACUGAGCUUCUUGACUGAGCACGUAUCGGACUGAGUGGUUAACCGGACGCCGGUCCCCCCGACCUUAAUUUUUUCAA
rnacentral:misc_RNA from 1 species